rnacentral:rRNA from 1 species
UACAGAGGUCUCAAGCGUUGUUCGGAUUCAUUGGGCGUAAAGGGUGCGUAGGUGGCGCUGUAAGUCGGGUGUGAAAUUUCGGAGCUUAACUCCGAAACUGCAUUCGAUACUGCGGUGCUUGAGGACUGGAGAGGGGACUGGAAUUCAUGGUGUAGCAGUGAAAUGCGUAGAGAUCAUGAGGAAGACCAGUGGCGAAGGCGGGUCUCUGGACAGUUCCUGACACUGAGGCACGAAGGCCAGGGGAGCAAACGGG